rnacentral:lncRNA from 1 species
GUAGAGCGCGGGAGGCUUAGAUGCUGUCACUAAGAAUGUGCUUUUCUCUAGAUGCUGGAUGAGGAGGACACUGACAAAGACGGGAUGAGUUUGGAGGUCGACACUCCAGUGACGAACCAUCGGGGUGACGACGACGAUGACGAAGAAGAUCUCCCCGAGAUAGUGCUGGAUGACGUGCCUGCGGUGAGGGUGGCGGGACGGCCUCCAUUCGCUCCGCGGGUAAGUUGGGUUUUUAGUCUGAGCUCGCAGUGUUGCUCUAUUUCCCCUCCGUGGACAUUAAGUUAUGACAGCCUGAGCCUGCACGUUCCAGACCAUGUGGACGGUUCCGAGGGUUGGGACUCCAUGUCAGGCGCGUCUGUUGCCAACUCCCGAUGCCUGCUUCCGCAGGGCAAUGCGAUAACAACACCUGUCCCAGCCUGCAGAGGACAGAGCUCCUUCUCCAGAAGCAUCUUUUCCUCGAGGGAAAGAGUUCUGUCAUCUCCAACUGACAUGGCCUUGGACAUCCCGUCGUCUAGGACAAGUUCUUGCCUUUGUCCCCGAGGAGGGUUUGCUCUGCCUUUGCUGGGUUCUCUGGACUCCACCGCUGUUGUGCAUCGGGGUUUCUGCUGUCACCAAGUGAAGGAAAGACCUGUGCAAAUAGGUGGCCUUGUGGUCUGAUCCUCAUGGCACUUUCUCCUCUUGUCAUUGCAGGUGGCCUUCAUGGUGAACAAAACACGUAUGUAUGCUGGAAGCACUCAUCUAGGGGGAGGGGCCCCUUAGAAGGUGAGGCAGGUGGCGCAGUCUUGCUGGGUUUAUUUAUUUGUUUUUAAUUGUUGUUUCCCCAGGGCAGGUUUUGUUUUUUUCCCCUUUCUUCCGGCCGUAGGGCAUGGUGACCCGGUUACACAUACAUGCACACGUUCUAUUUUCGCACAUUAUCAUGCUCCAUCAUAAGUGACUGGACAUAGCUCCCCAGGGCUACACAGCAGGCUCUCACUGCCCAUCCAUUCCAAAGGCAAGAGUUUGUAUCUAUUAACCCCAAGCUCCCCAGCCGCCCCAGUCCCUCCCCCUCCCCCUCCCCUCUCCCCCUUGGCAACCACAAGUCUCUUCUCCAAGUCCAUGAUUUUCUUUUCUGUGGAAAGGUUCAUCUGUGCCUCAUGUUAGACGCCAGAUACAUUCUUGCUGGUUUUGGUGUGGAGGGCCGGAGUGUUUGCAGUUUUGUCCUUGGAGUUAGGGUAGCAGGUUUGCUGAUGGAAAGUGACUUACAGGUAAAGUCACGGGGCCAGGUACUGUAGUCCCAGGAACAAGCCGUGUUACCAUUAGUCGAUGGAGGUUUGUGUGCAAGGGACUAGGGGGGUGUGUAUGGGAAACGGCUGGUAGGAUUCUGAGUGUGUCAAAAUCCUGAGCCUUCCUCUGACCCUCCUCCCAGAUGACCCCGAGUACCCGAGGCGGAAGGUGUCCGGCAUCAGUGCUCAGAAAGUUGUUCCACCUUCCACCAAGGUAAGGGCUUUUCACUUCUCUGAGGAAAAAGAAAAAGCAAAAAAAAAAAAACAAAAUAUAUAUAUAUGGCUUCAUUCCCUAGCUUUUCAAUCAAAUUCAACUCUGAAAGUCCAAAUCCGUGGAUACUUAGGGUUUUCCUGGGUUGGGUGACUGUUGACUGAUUGUCUGUCCCAGUGAAUGA